CUUAUCGUUUUCGUCAAUGUCAAAAUUCAAACAUAAUAGAAUUGAAAUAGAUUUUGCACCAAGAAAAGAAUAAAUUCUUAUCGCGACAAACGACAAGACAAUCCGAAAAAUUUAUAAUUCAAUGAAUAUUUCAAAAUUAAAUCAUUGCUCUCAGAGACAUGAUCUCAGUCGCAAGUGUUAAGUAAAGUAAACAUUAACAAAUCCCAAUUUGUAUAUAUUCUGGAUUACUUUCCAAAAUGAGAAGGAAAAGUGUCCUCCCACUUGUUGGCCUCUUCAUUGUUCUUGGUGUCCAGCAUGUAAUCUCUGAAUCUCUUCUCCUAAUGGAUGAUCACGGGGAGAGUGGAUUCUCCAGUGACGAGAAAGAUUUGUGUGCCUUAUAUUGCCAUAGGUCUAUGAAACUCGGUGUAGCUUAUAUUAUUGAGCUGAAGGAAAAAAUAAAAACACUCGAAAAAAAUCAUUCAGAGAGUGAAAUUAGUCAGCUGAGCAAAGCAGUUGAGAAUUUGCAAAGUAAAAUUGAUCAACAGAAUAUACAAAUAGCUAAUAUUAACGAUUUUAUCACAAACUCAGUUAACAGGCAGAAAGAGGUGGAAGAGAAAGCCAAAUCUCAAACUGAGAUAGACAAUUUGAAGAAAAUAGUAGAGAACAAUUGAAAGAGAAUUUAGAAAAUGUUCAACGUCAAGCAGCUAAAGAUAAGGAAGAAAGCUUAGCUGAACAAAGAAUUAAAAAUAGAGAAAUAGAAAAUCUAGAAGAGAAAUUAGCUACCCAAAAAUCAGAUUUAGACAAAGCAAUUAAAGACCUCGAGUCGAAAAACAAGGAAUUUGAAGAAUAUCAGACUAAGGAAAAGAAUUCCAGCAACAAAAUUGGAGAAUUAAAUUCUGAAAUUUCAUCCUUACAGAAAAAGUUAGAAGAAUCUGAAACUCAGUUGACUGAUUCAAAUCAUUUACUUGAAAGAAAACUAAGCCAAACUAAGGAAUAUUUAAUCGAGUGUCAGAAGAGAAUACCAAAAAUUGGUUGCCAAGGCCUUUCUUCGGGAAUUCAUCAAAUUGAACUUCCGCGGAUUGCUCCGAUUUUUGCUCUCUGCGAGGGAGAUAUAGAGUUUGGUGGGUGGAUAGUCAUUCAUAAAAGAUUUGAUGGCAGCGUAGACUUUCAUAGAACUUGGACUGAGUAUCGUAAUGCGUUUGGAAAUAUGAAAGGAGAGUUCUUUCUUGGUCUGGAGAAUUUGCAUCGUAUUACCAAUUCCCACACCUAUGAACUUUAUGUGCAAUUGGGAUAUCACAAUGGAACUUUCCUAUUUGCUAGUUAUGAUAAUUUUAGAAUUGGCAACGAAACUACGAAAUAUAAGUUAGAGUCAUUGGGAGAGUUUAGAGGAACAGCUAAAAAUGUUAUGGAUUACAAUUUAAAUGCAUCAUUUUCCAGUUUUGAUCAAGAUAAUGAUCACUCGAUUGUUAAUUGUGCUCAAAUGUAUGGAGCCUGGUGGCAUAAACGUUGUAGCUCGAUCCGCCUCAACGCAAAAUACUUCAAUAGAGAAGUCGAUGAUGAUUCAAGUAUGAGCUGGUGGAACUGGAUUUCUCUCAAAUCUGUGCAGAUGCUUAUCCGACCAAAAUAAAGAUGGACUUCAUCUCAAAAUUAACGAAAAUCUGGCAAAACUCUGCAAUCAAAAAAAAAAACUUGUAUUUCAGCAACAAAACAAAUCAUUUUCAAACAUAACUUCUGAACGGACCCAAUCUUAAGGGGACAAUUUCCGUUUUCUGCUUUGACUUAUUGUUAGAUGACAUUCGCUGUCUGCCUAAAAAAAUGUUUACUGUAGUUCAAAUGCAAACAUAAUCUAAUUUUCUGCA